GAUGUAGUGGUCCAACGUGAGAGCAUGGUCGCCGCCCACGCCACCAUCCACUCCGCCGCUGCCCAUCCCGGCUCAAACCCCUUCCUCCACCUUAUUAUUCUAUGCUUCUCCACCAUGGCGCCACGGACAUCGAUAGACAUAUCAGCUUAGAGCUCAACGAACGAAUUAAUUGGGGAGAUAUCGAUGAAGGGUAAGUUCAAGAUCUAAUCCGGUCAAGCUCGUCUCUCCCGUCGCCUCCGCUCGGACAUCGCGCCUCCAGCCGGGAGCGGCAAGCCAGACAGCCGGCAAUCACGGUUUAGGAUUUAGAGAUUGGGCUGUGCUUGACUGGGUUUGGAGUUCUCUUCUCGUUUCUUGGGAUCAUCAUGCUGUUUGACAAGGGCUUCCUGCCAAUGGGGAAUAUUCUCUUCGCGUCUGGUGUUACACUAACCAUUGGGC